UGCAGUCGAGCGGACAGAUGGGAGCUUGCUCCCUGAUGUUAGCGGCGGACGGGUGAGUAACACGUGGGUAACCUGCCUGUAAGACUGGGAUAACUCCGGGAAACCGGGGCUAAUACCGGAUGGUUGUUUGAACCGCAUGGUUCAAACAUAAAAGGUGGCUUCGGCUACCACUUACAGAUGGACCCGCGGCGCAUUAGCUAGUUGGUGAGGUAACGGCUCACCAAGGCAACGAUGCGUAGCCGACCUGAGAGGGUGAUCGGCCACACUGGGACUGAGACACGGCCCAGACUCCUACGGGAGGCAGCAGUAGGGAAUCUUCCGCAAUGGACGAAAGUCUGACGGAGCAACGCCGCGUGAGUGAUGAAGGUUUUCGGAUCGUAAAGCUCUGUUGUUAGGGAAGAACAAGUACCGUUCGAAUAGGGCGGUACCUUGACGGUACCUAACCAGAAAGCCACGGCUAACUACGUGCC
rnacentral:rRNA from 1 species